rnacentral:rRNA from 1 species
AGAGUUUGAUCCUGGCUCAGAAUGAACGCUGGCGGCGUGCUUAACACAUGCAAGUCGUACGAGAAAUCCUCUGCUUGCAGGGGAGAGUAAAGUGGCGCACGGGUGAGUAUCGCGUGGGUAAUCUACCCUUGGAUUCAGGAUAACACUUCGAAAGGGGUGCUAAUACUGGAUAAUAUCCUGAUGGUUUUGGCCAUAAGGAUCAAAGAUAGCCUCUACAUGUAAGCUAUUGUACAAGGAUGAGCCCGCGUACCAUUAGCUAGUUGGUGGGGUAAGGGCCUACCAAGGCAACGAUGGUUAGCUGGUCUGAGAGGAUGAUCAGCCACACUGGAACUGAAACACGGUCCAGACUCCUACGGGAGGCAGCAGUGAGGAAUUUUGCGCAAUGGGGGAAACCCUGACGCAGCAACGCCGCGUGAGUGAAGAAGGCUUUCGGGUCGUAAAGCUCUGUCAAGAGGGAAGAAAGUGGGGGAUGGUAAUACUGUUUUCUAUUGACGGUACCUCUGAAGGAAGCACCGGCUAACUCCGUGCCAGCCGCCGCGGU